AUUGAACGCUGGCGGCAUGCUUUACACAUGCAAGUCGAACGGCAGCACGGACUUCGGUCUGGUGGCGAGUGGCGAACGGGUGAGUAAUACAUCGGAACGUACCCAGUAAUGGGGGAUAACUAUCCGAAAGGAUAGCUAAUACCGCAUACGCCCUACGGGGGAAAGAGGGGGAUCGCAAGACCUCUUGUUAUUGGAGCGGCCGAUGGCUGAUUAGCUAGUUGGUAGGGUAAAGGCCUACCAAGGCAACGAUCAGUAGCGGGUCUUAGAGGACGAUCCGCCACACUGGAACUGGGACACGGUCCAGACUCCUACGGGAGGCAGCAGUGGGGAAUCUUGGACAAUGGGCGCAAGCCUGAUCCAGCAAUGCCGCGUGCGUGAAGAAGGCCUUCGGGUUGUAAAGCGCUUUUGUCAGGGAGCAAAUCCUUGUGGCUAAUACCCACCGGGGAUGAGAGUACCUGAAGAAUAAGGACCGGCUAACUACGUGCCAGCAGCCGCCGUAA
rnacentral:rRNA from 1 species